AUACUUACCUGGCAGGGGAGACACCAUGAUCAUGAAGGUGGUUCUCCCAGGGCGAGGCACGGCUAUUGCACACUCUAGGCUGUGCUGAUCGUGGUUGUCUUCCCUGCCGCUGUUGGCUAGGACCGGAGGAAUUUUUUUAUUCCUGGCCGGAGGGCCUGGU